UACGAAGGGGGCUAGCGUUGCUCGGAAUCACUGGGCGUAAAGCGCACGUAGGCGGCUUGUUAAGUCAGGGGUGAAAUCUCGGAGCUUAACUCCGAAACUGCAUUCGAUACUGCCGUGCUUGAGGACUGGAGAGGAGACUGGAAUUUACGGUGUAGCGGUGAAAUGCGUAGAUAUCGUAAGGAAGACCAGUGGCGAAGGCGGGUCUCUGGACAGUUCCUGACGCUGAGGCACGAAGGCCAGGGGAGCAAACGGG
rnacentral:rRNA from 1 species